CCUACGGGAGGCAGCAGUGGGGAAUUUUGGACAAUGGGCGAAAGCCUGAUCCAGCCAUGCCGCGUGCAGGAUGAAGGCCUUCGGGUUGUAAACUGCUUUUGUACGGAACGAAAAGGUCUUUUCUAAUAAAGAAGGCUCAUGACGGUACCGUAAGAAUAAGCACCGGCUAACUACGUGCCAGCAGCCGCGGUAAUACGUAGGGUGCGAGCGUUAAUCGGAAUUACUGGGCGUAAAGCGUGCGCAGGCGGUUAUAUAAGACAGUUGUGAAAUCCCCGGGCUCAACCUGGGAACUGCAUCUGUGACUGUAUAGCUAGAGUACGGUAGAGGGGGAUGGAAUUCCGCGUGUAGCAGUGAAAUGCGUAGAUAUGCGGAGGAACACCGAUGGCGAAGGCAAUCCCCUGGACCUGUACUGACGCUCAUGCACGAAAGCGUGGGGAGCAAACAGGAUUAGAUACCCUGGUAGUCCACGCCCUAAACGAUGUCAACUGGUUGUUGGGUCUUCACUGACUCAGUAACGAAGCUAACGCGUGAAGUUGACCGCCUGGGGAGUACGGCCGCAAGGUUGAAACUCAAAUGAAUUGACGGCUGAGAGNGCGAGACGACGACGAGGGAGGAGG
rnacentral:rRNA from 1 species